UACGGGGGGGGGCAAGCGUUGUUCGGAAUUACUGGGCGUAAAGGGCUCGUAGGCGGCCAACUAAGUCGGAUGUGAAAUCCCCAGGCUUAACCUGGGAAUUGCAUCCGAUACUGGAUGGCUUGAAUCCGGGAGAGGGAUGCGGAAUUCCAGGUGUAGCGGUGAAAUGCGUAGAUAUCUGGAGGAACACCGGUGGCGAAGGCGGCGACCUGGGUAGAUACUGACGCUGAGGUGCGAAAGCGUGGGGAGCAAACAGG
rnacentral:rRNA from 1 species